AUUGAACGCUGGCGGCAUGCCUUACACAUGCAAGUCGAACGGCAGCACGGGAGCAAUCCUGGUGGCGAGUGGCGAACGGGUGAGUAAUAUAUCGGAACGUGCCCAGUAGUGGGGGAUAACUGCUCGAAAGAGCAGCUAAUACCGCAUACGACCGGAGGGUGAAAGGGGGGGAUCGCAAGACCUCUCGCUAUUGGAGCGGCCGAUAUCAGAUCAGCUAGUUGGUGGGGUAAAGGCCUACCAAGGCAACGAUCUGUAGUUGGUCUGAGAGGACGACCAGCCACACUGGGACUGAGACACGGCCCAGACUCCUACGGGAGGCAGCAGUGGGGAACUUUGGACAAUGGGGGCAACCCUGAUCCAGCCAUGCCGCGUGAGUGAAGAAGGCCUUCGGGUUGUAAAGCUCUUUCGGCCGGGAAGAAAUCGCAUAGGCUAAUACCCUGUGUGGAUGACGGUACCGGAAUAAGAAGCACCGGCUAACUACGUGCCAGCCGCCGCGGUAAUAC
rnacentral:rRNA from 1 species